rnacentral:rRNA from 1 species
GGAAUAUUGCACAAUGGGGGAAACCCUGAUGCAGCGACGCCGCGUGAGUGAAGAAGUAUCUCGGUAUGUAAAGCUCUAUCAGCAGGAAAGAUAAUGACGGUACCUGACUAAGAAGCCCCGGCUAACUACGUGCCAGCAGCCGCGGUAAUACGUAGGGGGCGAGCGUUAUCCGGAUUCACUGGGUGUAAAGGGAGCGUAGACGGCCAUGCAAGCCAGGGGUGAAAGCCCGGGGCCCAACCCCGGGACUGCCCUUGGAACUGCAUGGCUGGAGUGCGGGAGGGGUAGGCGGAAUUCCUGGUGUAGCGGUGAAAUGCGUAGAUAUCAGGAGGAACACCGGCGGCGAAGGCGGCCUGCUGGACUGCGACUGACGUUGAGGCUCGAAAGCGUGGGGAGCGAAC